AUUGAACGCUGGCGGCAGGCCUAACACAUGCAAGUCGAACGAGUGGCGGACGGGUGAGUAAUGUCUGGGAAACUGCCUGAUGGAGGGGGAUAACUACUGGAAAAGGUAGCUAAUACCGCAUACCAUCGGAUGUGCCCAGAUGGGAUUAGCUAGUAGGUGGGGUAAAGGCUCCCCUAGGCGACGAUCACUAGCUGGUCUUAGAGGAUGACCAGGACAACUGGAACUGAGACACGGGCCAGAAUCCUACGGGAGGCAGCAGUGGGGAAUAUUGCACAAUGGGCGCAAGCCUGAUGCAGCCAUGCCGCGUGUAUGAAGAAGGCCUUCGGGUUGUAAAGUACUUUCAGCGGGGAGGCGUUACCCGCAGAAGAAGCACCGGCUAACUCCGUGCCAGCAGCCGCGGUAAGUC
rnacentral:rRNA from 1 species